rnacentral:rRNA from 1 species
UACGUAGGGUGCAAGCGUUGUCCGGAAUUAUUGGGCGUAAAGAGCUCGUAGGCGGUUUGUCGCGUCGACUGUGAAAACCCGCGGCUCAACCGCGGGCCUGCAUUCGAUACGGGCAGGCUAGAGUUCGGUAGGGGAGACUGGAAUUCCUGGUGUAGCGGUGAAAUGCACAGAUAUCAGGAGGAACACCGGUGGCGAAGGCGGGUCUCUGGGCCGAUACUGACGCUGAGGAGCGAAAGCGUGGGGAGCGAACAGG